rnacentral:rRNA from 1 species
UACAGGGGGUGCAAACGUUGCUCGGAAUUAUUGGGCGUAAAGCGCGCGUAGGCGGCUACUUAUGUCGGAUGUGAAAGCCCUUGGCUCAACUGAGGAAGUGCACCCGAAACUGAGUAGCUGGAGUACGAAAGAGGGUCGCGGAAUUCCCGGUGUAGAGGUGAAAUUCGUAGAUAUCGGGAGGAACACCGGUGGCGAAGGCGGCGACCUGGGUCGAUACUGACGCUGGAGCGCGAAAGCGUGGGGAGCGAACAGG